GCGACAUGCCUGAAGAGAGAAGUGGUCUGAGGCUGGGCUUUGCAGACAGAGGACAGGGCUUGCCGGUGGGCGCGGGUGGGGGUGCCCAGAGGAGGGAUGGGAUGUGCUGUGUGCACACAGAAGAUGAAUGCAGCUAUGCGGCCCUUCUCGCUUGUUUUCUUCAUUUCUCUUUUUAUCAUUUAUUUAUUUGCAGCCUUUCUCUUUGCCCUACUGGAGUACUGACAGUGGAAGGAGAGGAGGUCUUUGCAGGUCGUUUACUGAGUCCCACUCUGUGACCUUUGACUCUUUAUUUCCCUCUUCUCUACCCCAUUUUCCACCUAUACCAGUUAGCUUUAGGGGGAUUUCAGCCUCAAUAACAUUUCAUUAAUAUUAUUAUUGUUAUAAAUUUCCUUUUUAACACACAGGUCCUAACCCGUAUGACUCUUUUUCUACUAUUAAUUUUUCUUAUAUUCACGAUAGAGCGUGCACAUGCACACACACACACACAAAGAGAGAGAAGAGCAGGGCCUCGUCAGGCUGCGGUCCCUCCCUUAGUCUUCAGCCCUCUGGAUCCUGGGCGCUUGCAUGGGUGCCUUCCGUGCUUGGAGCUGAGCAAGCUGGCAGUUCAAAGCCCAAAGUCUCCAUGUGGGAUUGGGCUUCUCUGAGCAGUGCAUCACCACCACAGCACGGAGCAGGCUCUCACCUACGUGACUUACUGGUCGUCCUUCUCCAAGUUCCCACCUUCUUCCACCUGGGAUCAGACAUCUCUGAGGGCUGAGAUGGAAUGACAGCCCUUGACGGGGAAGUCUUGGUUAGAGCGAGAACCCCCUUUCCCAACUUGGAGAACUGUGUUGUGCCUCGCAGUAACCCUGGUUGUCAUCGGAAUAAUUUUCACUUGGAUGCGAUACAUAAGGAGAAACCACUGAGGGAAAAGACAAAGUUGGCCCAAAGGGGAGGACCCAGCUGUCAUUCUGGGAGAACCAGCAGUGUCACCAUUCCAUCACCUGGACUGCGCCAUGGGGAGACACCGAUGGCAGUGAUUGGCAUGGGGGCCAGGGGUGAUGAAGAAAUGGACCCAACCCCGCCUAUGAGUGGGGGCCGGGGCUAUGGAGUCAUCUGGAAAAAGCAGGGUCCCUGGAGCUGUCGUCACUCAGUCUCAGCAUCUAAGAUCUGAUUCUGAAUAUCAAGAACUUCCCAGAUAUUGCUAAGGACUAUGAGGAGGUCGCUCUGUCACCAGUGGGCACUAGUUUUCCAGAGCCCAGACGUCCCUGAGAGCUCCUGAAGGACUGGACGCCAUGGCGGGGAGAGCCACCCACCCACCCUUUAUCACAGCAGACGCCAGACUUGCAGAAAAGCUCGCAGUUCCCCAGCUCACGGCAUCCAGUGAGCUUGGGAGGCAAGAGUUCACUAUUUGAAU